rnacentral:rRNA from 1 species
UAAGUGAAUAGUGAAAUCUGGCGGCUCAACCGUACAGACUAUUAUUCAAACUGGCAAACUCGAGAAUGGUAGAGGUAACUGGAAUUUCUUGUGUAGGAGUGAAAUCCGUAGAUAUAAGAAGGAACACCAAUGGCGUAGGCAGGUUACUGGGCUAUCUCUGACACUGAGGCACGAAAGCGUGGGGAGCGAACCGGAUUAGAUACCCGGGUAGUCCACGCCGUAAACUAUGGAUACUA